ensembl:lncRNA
UAUUUCUACUGAUUUUUAAAAAUUUCUUCUAUUAUAUAUAUUUUUUCUGCUAGUUCUUUUAGAAAUAGUACAUAGUCCUUGUUUUCAGGGAUACGAUAUUUUCUGUAUUGAAAAAUGUUUAAUCACAGAUUUUUUUUCCACAAAAUCUUCUGCUUCCUGCACUGUCUCUAGUUCUCUUUCAUGAUGUUUGUUUUGGUCUCUGUAUUUCAUGAUGAAGGCUUUUCUCUAGUUCUCCUUGGUCCUCCCUACAUAUUUAAGUGUAAAAUACAGAAAAGGAUUACCAGAGGUGUCAGAUAAGAGGGGGAGUCAGAGUAGAAACAAUAUUCUUUACAAGUUGCAGUUCAAAUAUCUUUAUUUUUGCAAAACUUACAAAAACAUUAUGUCCCAUUGUUGAUUUAUAGCUCUAUAAUUAUUUACAGUUAUUUAGUGAGAUUUUGGUGGCAGAGGAAAUAAAUAUGGUAAUCUUUUUUUUUUUUUUUUUUUUUUUGAGACGGAGUCUCGCUAUGUCGCCCAGGCUGGAGUGCAGUGGCCGGAUCUUAGUUCACUGCAAGCUCCGCCACCCGGGUUUACGCCAUUCUCCUGCCUCAGCCUCCCGAGUAGCUGGGACUACAGGUGCCCGCCACCUCGCCCGGCUAGUUUUUUGUAUUUUUUAGUAGAGACGGGGUUUCACCGGGUUAGCCAGGAUGGUCUCGAUCUGCUGACCUCGUGAUCCGCCCGUCUCGGCCUCCCAAUAUGGUAAUCAUUUUGUACACCCCUCCUGAAUAAUAAUUUGGCUGGGAAUCAAAUUUUUUUUUUUUUUUUUUAGAGAGACAUGGUCUCACUCUGUUGCCUGGGCUGCAGUGCAGUGGCACAAUCCUCCCACCUCAGCCUCCUGAGUAGCUGGGAUGACAGGCUCACACCACCACGCCUAAUUCUUUUUUUUUUUUUUUUUGUAGAGAUGAGGUCUCACUAUGUUGCCCAGCCUGGCUUGAACUCCUGGACUCAAGCAAUCCUCUCACUUCAGGCUCCAAAAGUGCUAGGAUUACAGAUGGGGUGACAAGACCCUAAGAUGAUCCUCAAUGAACUGUACCUACUGGUGUUGACACCUUUGGAUACUCCCCUCCCCUCAACUCUGGGCAGGACCAGUGACUUAUGCUCCUGUGGGUUAAUAGGACCAGCAAAGGUGAUCAUAUGCCACUCCCAGGACUAUAUUAUGUCAUCAGACUGGAGUGAGAGAGCCUCCUUGCUGGCUCAGUGAAUGGAGUGCCACAUUGAGGAAGCCCAUGUGGUAAAGAACUGUGGAUGGCCUCCAGCAACUGUGGGCAGCCUCUAGGACCAAGGGUGGGUUCCCACCAACAGUCAAAAAAAGGCAGGAGCCCUCAGUUAUACAGCCACAAGGAAAUAAAUUCUGUCAAAGGCCUGAAUGAGCUUGGAAGUGGAUUCUUCCCCAGUUGAGCCUCCAGAUAAGAAUGGAGCCUAGAUGGCAUCUUGAUUGCAGCCCUAUGAAACCCUGAACAAAGGACCCAGCAAAGCUGUUUGCAGAUUCCUGACCUACAGAAACUGUGAGAUAAUAAAUAUGUGUUGUUAUAAGCUGCUCAUUUUGUCAUAAUUUGUUAUGCAACAAUAGGAAACCAAUCCAGCAGAUUACAAUCCGCUAAAUAGAUUUCAUGACCCCAUCAUGAGUCACAGGCUGCAAUUUGGAAAACACAGACUUGGCUGGGUGUAUUGGUCAUACCUGCAAUCCCAGCACUUUGGGAGGUCAAGGCAGAAGGAAUGCUUGAAGCCAGGAGCUUGAGACCAGCCUGGGCAAUGGUGUUAUACCCCUAUAGUUCCAGCCACUCAGGAAGCUGGGAUGGGAGGAUUGCUUGAGCUCAGGAGUUAGAGACUGUAGUGAGCUAUGAUCACAUUACUGCUCUCCAGGCUGGGUGACAGAGCAAGACCUCUUCUCUUUAAAAACAAAAAAUGCAGACUUAGUAAACUGAAAGCUACACAUAUUUCUAUAUUCUACAGGAAUGUGACCUUGUGAUAACAGUAAAUCUUGUAAGUGUAUUUGUUUUAAAAAAUGGAUUUCUGUGCCUAUAGAAGAGGACUAAACAAAUGUAACAUAUAAGUAUUUAGGAUGAUGAUUCAAAAAUUUUUCUUGAAAUGAGAGAAGAAUCAAAUCUGCAGAUUUAAAAAGUGCACCAUGUUAGGGAGGAAAAUGAUAUAGAAAAGUCAUCACUCAGCCAUACCCUGGUAAAGCAAUUAGACUUCAAAAAUAAAGAGAAGAUAAUUUGGGCAUCUUCUAAAAAAGAUCAAGUGACUCAGAAAGAGAAAAAUAAUAAGACUUGAUUCAGAUAUCUCCUCCUCCUCCACCAUGGCAGAGCCUGCCAGCUGUCCAACAAAACCCCAUUUUCUCUGCUUCCUGGGCACACAGCUCAACAUUCCCACCCCCACCACCACCCUCCCCCACCCGCUGCCAGUGCAGAUAGGUGACCAGUAG